rnacentral:rRNA from 1 species
AGUCGAACGUGAAAGCACUUCGGUGUGAGUAGAGUGGCGGACGGGUGAGUAACGCGUGGGAAUCUACCCAGUAGUGGGGGACAACUACCGGAAACGGUAGCUAAUACCGCAUACGCCCUAUGGGGGAAAGGCUUCGGCCGCUAUUGGAUGAGCCCGCGUCAGAUUAGCUAGUUGGUAGGGUAAAGGCCUACCAAGGCAACGAUCUGUAGCUGGUCUGAGAGGGCGAACAGCCACACUGGGACUGAGACACGGCCCAGACUCCUACGGGAGGCAGCAGUGGGGAAUAUUGGACAAUGGGCGAAAGCCUGAUCCAGCAAUGCCGCGUGUGUGAAGAAGGCCUGCGGGUUGUAAAGCACUUUCAGUUGGGAAGAUGAUGACGUUACCAACAGAAAAAGCACCGGCUAAAUCCGUGCCAGCAGCCGCGGUAAUACGGAUGGUGCGAGCGUUAAUCGGAAUUACUGGGCGUAAAGCGCGCGUAGGCGGCUAAGUCAGUCAGAAGUGAAAGCCCCGGGCUCAACCUGGGAAUUGCUUUUGAUACUGCUUAGCUAGAGUUUGGUAGAGGAUAGUGGAAUUCCAGGUGUAGCGGUGAAAUGCGUAGAUAUCUGGAGGAACAUCAGUGGCGAAGGCGACUGUCUGGACCAAAACUGACGCUGAGGUGCGAAAGCGUGGGUAGCAAACAGGAUUAGAUACCCUGGUAGAAGGGC